UGCCAGCAGCCGCGGUAAUACGGAGGGGGCUAGCGUUGUUCGGAAUUAUUGGGCGUAAAGGGCGCGUAGGCGGCUUACCAAGUCAGUUGUGAAAGCCCUCGGCUUAACCGAGGAACUGCAAUUGAUACUGUUGAGCUUGAGUCCCGGAGAGGGUGGCGGAAUUCCCAGUGUAGCGGUGAAAUUCGUAGAUAUUGGGAAGAACACCAGUGGCGAAGGCGGCUACCUGGUCCGGAUCUGACGCUGAGGCGCGAAAGCGUGGGGAGCAAACAGGAUUAGAUA
rnacentral:rRNA from 1 species